GACUCGUCGGGGUGACCCGAAAUGACCCGGAGAAGCCGUAGGGAGGUCCGGGGAGAGUUGUCUCUUCUCUAUAAGCGUUCGAGUUCCCUGGAAGCCUCUAGGAGGGAGAUAGGGUUUGGAACGCGAAGAGCACCGCACUUACGGCGGUGUCCGGAUCUUCCCCUCGGACCUUGAAAAUCCGGGCGAGGGCCACGAGGAACACCGCGCCGGCUCGUACCCAUAUCCGCAGCAGGUCUCCAAGGUGAAUAGCCUCUAGUCGAUAGAAUAAUGUAGGUAAGGGAAGUCGGCAAACCCGAUCUGUAACUUCGGGAUAAGGAUUGGCUCUGAGGAUCGUGGCGCGCCGGGCUUGGUCGGGAAGUGGAGCGGUGCCAACGUGCCGGGCCUGGGCGAGGUGAAGGGCGCUUUGCCGCCUGGACCCUAGCUCGGUCCCGUGCCUUGGCCACCCACGGACCUUCCUUGCUGCGAGCCCCCCGGCUGUCUAGUUUCCGGCUACAGCCGGA
rnacentral:rRNA from 1 species